ACAACGAAAAAGAAGGGAUGGCCUAUCCAGCUCAAGGGUACGGUAUAACUUAUGGAAAAGCAAGUUCCUUCAUUUAAAUAAGGGGCCGGACCUCAUUUUCAUUCAACUUCACCUAUCAGUCGCAGCAGCACAAGUGCUUGACCUUGGCAGACAUGUCUCAACAGUCUUGUACAAGGAAGGCUGGCCUCUGUUUUAGCAGCCAAUUAAUGUGAGACCUGG